rnacentral:misc_RNA from 1 species
GAAAUGCGAUAAUUAAUGUGAAUUGCAGAAUUCAGUGAAUCAUCGAGUCUUUGAACGCACAUUGCGCCCCCUGGUAUUCCGGGGGGCAUGCCUGUCCGAGCGUCAUUGCUGCCCUCAAGCACGGCUUGUGUGUUGGGCUUCCGUCCCUGGCAACGGGGACGGGCCCAAAAGGCAGUGGCGGCACCAUGUCUGGUCCUCGAGCGUAUGGGGCUUUGUCACCCGCUCCCGUAGGUCCAGCUGGCAGCUAGCCUCGCAACCAAUCUUUUUAACCAGGUUGACCUCGGAUCAGGUAGGGAUACCCGCUGAACUCAAGC